rnacentral:rRNA from 1 species
AAUGAACGCUGGCGGCGUGGAUUAGGCAUGCAAGUCGAACGCGAAAGUGGCCGCAAGGCUGCGAGUAGAGUGGCGAAAGGGUGAGUAAUGCUUGGAUGACCUACCCUCGAGACGGGGAUAACAGUUCGAAAGGACUGCUAAUACCCGAUAGUCCGUCCCGGAUGCGUCCGGGACGGUAAACGGUUGAUUCCGCUCGUGGAGGGGUCCAAGUCCUAUCAGCUUGUUGGUGAGGUAACGGCUCACCAAGGCUACGACGGGUAGGCGGUCUGAGAGGACGACCGCCCACAUCGGGACUGAGACACUGCCCGGACUCCUACGGGAGGCUGCAGUCGAGAAUCUUCUGCAAUGGGGGCAACCCUGACAGAGCGACGCCGCGUGGAGGAUGAAGGCCCUCGGGUUGUAAACUCCUGUCACAUGUUAAGAAUCGCACGAGUUCACUCGUGCGUUGACUAAGGCAUGAGAGGAAGUCACGGCUAACUUCGUGUCAGCCGCCGCAGUAA